GUCAUUCUCCCGCCGCCAUCUCUAACUCCUGCCCCCCUCUUUGAGGAAAUAUCUGUAACUAUGGGAGUUCUAGUUGAAGUAACUUCCAGAAGAAAACAGUACUUCCCAGUGUCCAGCCACCAGCCCUGCAUCCUGGGACAACUCUUAGGUAAAAGAACCCCACACUCUUG